rnacentral:rRNA from 1 species
UGAGGAAUAUUGGACAAUGGGUGCAAGCCUGAUCCAGCCAUCCCGCGUGAAGGAUUAAGGUCCUAUGGAUUGUAAACUUCUUUUAUACAGGGAUAAACCUCUCCUCGUGAGGAGAGCUGAAGGUACUGUAUGAAUAAGCACCGGCUAACUCCGUGCCAGCAGCCGCGGUAAUACGGAGGGUGCAAGCGUUAUCCGGAUUUAUUGGGUUUAAAGGGUCCGUAGGCGGGCCGAUAAGUCAGUGGUGAAAUCUCGCAGCUUAACUGUGAAACUGCCAUUGAUACUGUUGGUCUUGAGUAAAUUUGAAGUGGCUGGAAUAAGUAGUGUAGCGGUGAAAUGCAUAGAUAUUACUUAGAACACCAAUUGCGAAGGCAGGUCACUAAGAUUUAACUGACGCUGAUGGACGAAAGCGUGGGUAGCGAACAGG